UGCCAGCAGCCGCGGUAAUACGGAGGGUGCAAGCGUUAUUCGGAUUUACUGGGCGUAAAGGGCGCGUAGGCGGUCUGAUAAGUCAGUUGUGAAAGCCCGGGGCUCAACCCCGGAAGUGCAAUUGAAACUGUCAGGCUUGAGUAUGGUAGAGGGAAGUGGAAUUCCUGGUGUAGCGGUGAAAUGCGUAGAUAUCAGGAGGAACACCGGUGGCGAAGGCGACUUCCUGGACCAAUACUGACGCUGAGGCGCGAAGGUGUGGGGAGCAAACAGGAUUAGAUA
rnacentral:rRNA from 1 species